rnacentral:rRNA from 1 species
GUCUUUGAACAAACCACCCACAAUGUGCCCGAUCUCGUCAGAUCUCAGAAGGCUAAGCAGAGUUGAGCCUGCGUGGGACUUGGAUGGGCGACCACCACCACCACACUUACAACUAUC